CGUUUUACACGUAGAACGGCACGCAGUGUUUGACUAGUCCGUAAUCCCUUUAAUGGCAUCUCAUUGAUUAUCGUCAUUUCGUUUAAGGAUCUCUGUGGGGAUAAGUCGAUUUGAUAGCGAACUAGAAAGCGAGAGAUCGAAGCAAGUGAUGCCAGGAGGUGUGCCCAAGCUCCCAAAGAUCCAACCGGCGGAUAUCCAAGCCGCCAUAGGAUGGGGUGUCGCCGCCGCAGCCGGCGCCAUCUGGGUCGUCCAACCAUUUGAUUGGAUCAAGAAGACGUUCAUUGACAAACCAGCAACUGAAGAGAACUGAUGGGUCGUCACCAAGAUGUAGACUUUUCUUUGCCAUGGGACUGAAUAAAGUUUUGGUUCUUUUUCUGGGGAUUUUUGUUGUUUCAUGACUUCAGUGUAAACUUUUUUGCCUUCUCAAAUGUUAUAACACAUGAAUAAGCAUACACACUGUAACCAGAAAAGAGCAUGCAUUUUGCUUUUUCAAUCGUAUGUUGUUGGUACUAUUACUUUAUGAAAGAAAGUAGACGUGUAGAUCAGGGCAUAAGAAGGGAGAGAUAUGAUGAUGAUGACUUAGAUUGUUGAGCUUGUCAUGUGGCGGUCACCAACAUGCCGGGGCCAAAUCUUCUAUGUAGUUAAGACAUGAUCAAUCUCAAUGGGUGUGAGUGAACCAAUGUUGCAUAUACCUUCUCUUAAAUAGUAAGAACAAGUUCAGCUUCUCUUAAAUAGUAAGAACAAGUUCAGCUAUAUAUCAAAGUGUUUCUGCAACUGUGGAGGAGGAGGGUUUAACAGACUGUUGCACAGUGUCUGUUAACGGUUAAAACGAAUUUCCGGUUUAUCUGCAAAUCCGAGCGCUUCCGGUUUACACUGAUGUAACUUGGUCAAUGGAGUGACAUUUAUACCCUCAGCUCAUGAAUAAAACAACAGUAUUAGCCCCGUUAGUUAAAAUAUGAAACAACAGUAUUGGCCUCUCUCUAAGUAACUGAUACGAUUCCAGUUAAACGGCACAACUACAAAACCCUAAUCUCGACAUGAACAGAGGAAGAAGGAAUCUGAAACAAGCAGCUUCAGAGCAAGACUUCACGCUUGAGGAAUGUCAAAGCAUAGCCAAGGUCGUCUCCCUCAGAGGCUCCAAUCAAAUUGAGAUAAUGGAUGCAAGAGGAGAGAACUCGUUAGCCUUGUUUCCAGCCAAGUUUCAUGAGAGCAUGUGGAUCAGACGAGGAAGCUUUGCAGUGA